UGCCUAUGAUAAGGGCACUCUUUGACUAAUCUCUUGAAUCACUCCCAGGCUUCAUGAAAUGUCUCCCCUUGCUCUUGCUCAAAUCCCAAAAUUUUACUCCUGAGAGA